AAUAGAUACCCCGGUAGUCCACGCCGUAAACGAUGGGCACUAGGUGUGGGAGGUGUCGACUCCUUCCGUGCCGAAGCUAACGCAUUAAGUGCCCCGCCUGGGGAGUACGGCCGCAAGGCUAAAACUCAAAAGGAAUUGACGGGGGCCCGCGACAAGCAGCGGAGCAUGUGGUUUAAUUCGACGCAACGCGAAGAACCUUACCUGGCUUGACAUGUUCCUGACCGGUGUGGAAACACAUCUUCCCUUCGGGGCAGGAUCACAGGUGGUGCAUGGCUGUCGUCAGCUCGUGUCGUGAGAUGUUGGGUUAAGUCCCGCAACGAGCGCAACCCCCGUCGUAUGUUGCCAGCAUUUAGUUGGGGACUCAUACGAGACUGCCGGUGACAAACCGGAGGAAGGUGGGGAUGACGUCAAGUCAUCAUGCCCCUUAUGUCCAGGGCUACACACGUGCUACAUUGGCCGGUACAAAGGGCUGCGAUACCGCGAGGUGGAGCGAAUCCCAUAAAGCCGGUCUUGGUUCGGAUUGGAGGCUGAAACUCGCUCC
rnacentral:rRNA from 1 species